UUAAUAAUGUAAAAUUAAAAAUUAGAGUAGUAAUAGCUAUGAUCUUGAAACUUAAAGAAUUUGGCGGUAUUUUAGUCUAUUCAGAGGAACCUGUAAUAUAAUCGAUAUUCCACGAUGAACCUUACUUAAUUUUGUGUUUUAAUUUGUAUAUCGCCGUUAUUUGAAAAUUUUAUAAGAAAAAUAAUUUUCUAAAAUUUUUAUUAAAAAAUAAAUCAGGUCAAGGUGCAGUUUAUAGUUAAGUUUUAUAUGGGUUACAAUAAAAUUAUUUAAAAUGAAUUAAAAGAAUUAAAAGGUGAAAUUUCUUUUUUGAAAGUGGAUUUGAUAAUAAAUUUUUAAAGAUAAAAAAAUUGAUU
rnacentral:rRNA from 1 species